UUUUUAACCUUGGAUUUUCAGUGCCAUGAAAAUCUUUAGGAGAUGCAGAGUGAUUUUACAUUUAUUUAGUGGAAUCGUCCAGUAAACUAAAAGUGAAUGAGUAAAUCUUUAUUCAGGCCAAGAAAAUCCUCCAGGAUACCAGCAGUACAAUACUAUGGAGCCAAGGGCCCUGGAGGUUCUGACCUAUGGGAGAAUUGAAGUUGGCCGUCAGCCAGGGAGGGUGACAUGACUUCCAUUCAGGAACACGGAGAAGGCCACCCUGCCCGGCAACGGACAUCAGCUGACUGAUCAGAAUGCCCAGCUGCAGGUGCAGAGUUCACUUUUGGAGUUAGUUCACUUUUAGGAGAUGCAGGUUGGCAUAAGACUGGUGUGCACCUGGAGAUGUCUGGGGUCACAGAUGGGGGAGCACUCACCCACACCUGACACACACUGAGCGCCUGUUACUGGGCGAGGCAGUGGGGCCGGUCGCUGCCUACCAACCGCACAGAAAGUCACGGAGGUGCCAAGCUGCUCCGCACUGACCUGCUUUCAGAUGAGGGUUCUGGUGAGGACUAGUCCUGUACCCCAGCCCUGGCCUGACCCAGUGGCCUGGCUUCCAGAGGAUGGGUGUUCAGCCUGCCCGUGGCACCGGCCUCUCAUGAGCUGCUGGGCAGCUGCAGCUUCCUUACCAGUGGUACCUCUCCUUGGUGCUGGGGGACCAACCCGGCCAGACCUCAUUCCUGCAGCAGUCCUGUCAUCUCUCAUCCCACCCACCGGCCCCCCAAGGCUCAGCAAGUGAAUGCAGGGGAGAAGAGAAAGAGCCCCAAAGGGAGCAAACUCCAGAAAAUUUGCCAAAUGCACAGCAAGACGUGGCGUGUGUCUGGCAGACCCUGCUGGAUAUACGACACCCGCGGACUCUGAGUGCAGCAGGACUGUGCUGGCACCAGGAAAGUUGUGCCUUUUUGUCCAGGCUUUUCUGUACCUGCUUCUGCUUCUCUGGCUGUAUUCGUGAUAACCAGGAAAUUCAAGAAAAGAAAACAAUCGAAGAGUCCAUCCGUGACGAAUGGACAAAGAACAUGUGGUACAUUUACAACAUGGAAUACUAUUCAGCCAUAAAGAGGAUGAAAUCCUGCCGCUUGCAGCAAUGUAGGUGGAGUGAAGAUGGUUAUGCGAAAUGAAACAAACCAGGCUCAGAAAGACAGGUUCUGCCUGAUCUCACUCAUACGCAGAAGAUGAAAAGUUGAUUGCACAGAAGCGAAGAGCAGCCUGGUAGUGACCAGAGAGGCUGGGGAGAACAGGGGGUGGAGGGAAGGCUAAAGGUGGGUCAGUGGCUGUGUACUGCGAGACACGAGCAGCAAGCGCUGACGCUCUGUUGCGUGGAAAGUUGCGGGACUUGGGUAACGAUAAUGCGCUAUGCAUCCCAAAAAGCUGGAAGAGAAGGUUUUGAAUGUUUACACUAUAAAUGAUAAAUGUUUGAGGCGAUAAAUAUAUUUAACAUGAUUUGAACAUGUACAGUGGACGUAUGUAUUUUAACAUCACAUGGCACCCUGUAAAUAUUUACAAUAUUUACAAUA